rnacentral:misc_RNA from 1 species
UUGAAUGAACUUGGCUCGGUUGCAGCUGGUCCUCUAGAGGGCAUGUGCUCGCCGUGUCAUCUUUAUCUCUCCACCUGUGCACCUUUUGUAGACCUGGAUUAGUUACUUUCCGAGGAAACUCGGUCGGGAGGAUUGCUUUCACAAGCUCUCCUUGCAAUUAACCCAGGCCUACGUUUUCAUAUACCCCAAAGAAUGUAACAGAAUGUAUUAUAUUGGCCUUGUGCCUAUAAACUAUAUA